GAACGCCCGGGCUUCGGCCUGGUUACCAUAACCCUUUGUUGUCCGACUCUGUUGCCUCCGGGGCGACCCUGCCUUCGGGCGGGGGCUCCGGGUGGACACUUCAAACUCUUGCGUAACUUUGCAGUCUGAGUAAACUUAAUUAAUAAAUUAAAACUUUUAACAACGGAUCUCUUGGUUCUGGCAUCGAUGAAGAACGCAGCGAAAUGCGAUAAGUAAUGUGAAUUGCAGAAUUCAGUGAAUCAUCGAAUCUUUGAACGCACAUUGCGCCCCCUGGUAUUCCGGGGGGCAUGCCUGUUCGAGCGUCAUUUCACCACUCAAGCCUCGCUUGGUAUUGGGCAACGCGGUCCGCCGCGUGCCUCAAAUCGUCCGGCUGGGUCUUCUGUCCCCUAAGCGUUGUGGAAACUAUUCGCUAAAGGGUGUUCGGGAGGCUACGCCGUAAAACAACCCCAUUUCUAAGGUUGACCUCGGAUCAGGUAGGGAUACCCGCUGAACUUAAGCAUAUCAAUAAGCGGAGGA
rnacentral:rRNA from 1 species